CUUCAGGAUGGUGGUGUGACAUGGCUGGAGGAGCUGCUGGUCCAGCCACAUCGGAAUCUUGCCCUCUGCAUUCUCAAACAGACUGUUGUGUUUGGGGGCCAGCAGGAAAGAAGAGGGGCAAGCUCUCAUGUGCAACGUGGACACCUCAUUAGGAGCCAUCCAACAGGUUACAGUGAUUUGAACUUCCUCUCAUUCUUCAGCAUACAGCCGGGGUGAUGAGGGAGCUUUAUCCCUUUCAGCUAAAGACUUCAAAGUUAAUCUGCGUUAUUAAAAGCCAUAUCCUUGCAGGUAAUAAUUAUACCCCAGUGUGCAGAUAGAGGCACAGGGAAAUUGUGCGACUUCUCUCGGGAGACACAGAGAAUUGGCAGGAGAGCCAGGGGCGAUGCUGAGAGGAGAGCCCUGCCCUUAGCACAGGUCCACACAUCUUCAUAGCAAGGAGAGAUGAAAAGCAGUUGCAGUCGUUGGGUCUGACUUAACCACAUCGUUAUGGAACUGCAGCUUGUUUCCACGCAGCAUCAAAGGGAGAAAAGCUUGCCCCAAAGACAGUGCUGAACGCUGAAAAUUGUGUACUUACAGCUCAGCCUUAGGGGCUUGGGUAAAGGGACAGUGUUUAAAAGCAACCGAGGCAAACUCUUACAGUCUACAGAGUCAUUAGUAUGCCAAGUCCUGCAGGGCUUCCCGCAUCCUCUUGGACUUGAUAAAAUUAUAAAUCAACCAGCAAAAUUCCUUUUGGAACAGUCUGUGCUUCGGUCCAGGGCUGCUCGCCAGCGCCGUGCGGAGCCUCCUCCUUCCACACAGGCAAUCAUUCGAGUUAGUUCUUUUGGUUUGGAAAUGCAGCGUCAUAAUCAGGGAAGAUAUGUACCUGAUAUUGAGCUGAAACAACUCAAUUUACUGUGCACUGAUAGCUGUCAGCACUUACAACACCGUUUUCUU